GCCUGGCAGAGCCUGAAGCGGAGGGGAGCUGGUGUGUGGCCUGCAUUUCUGUCUGUUCCCCUUUGCUGUGAGAAACACAAGGGCCUCAAGCCACUUGGAAAGGAACUCAUUUAUUUCACCGUAAGUUCUCAUCCAUCAUGAAGGGGAGUCAGGUCAGGAACUGAAGGAUCUGGAGGCAGGGACCAAGAAGAAGACUCACUACAGUGGCUUGCUUCUUAUGGCUUGCCCAGUCCCAAGGGGCGGUACCACCCGAAGCAGGCCUGGCCCUCCCACAUCAAGUCUUUAUCAAGAAAAGGACCUACAGACUUGUUUACAAGCCAUCUGAUAGAGGAGCUUCCUCCCUUCCUCCCUGAUAACCCUUUCUUGAAUCAAAUCCACAAAAUAACUAAGACACUGUGGUUGCCUCUCUCAGAUUGCACAUGUCAUUGUCUCUUUGUCCGCUCCUCUGGAGCAGGGUCCACCCGCCCCUGGGACCACACCCUUAGUCUUGUGAUGAGGGGGUUUGUGAUGAGUUUCAGACUUCUGGAGUACUCAGAGAAGUCCUGCUGCUCCGUAGGGGUCCCGUCUUCCUCAGAGGCCACACCUGUGGCCAUGUGUGGAAUGCAGUAGGAGGUGAGCUUCACCAAACCAGGUAAAGGAGAGUACUGAUUACUGGGCAAAAGAAGAGCAGCUGAAGCCGCUAGGUCUUGCGAACAUUAUGGUUCUGUCUUUAAUGUGAAACAUACAAUUAGGACAAAGGUCACGUCUCUUCCCAAAGCCAACAGCAGCACAACUGCUUUGCCAGAUCCAUUUGUGGAUGAAUCCAACUGGGCUACUUAAGGAGAGAAAUGACCCCUGGGAUAGUCUACUGCAACACUCAGUCUGAACAUCCAUAAAUGGUUUCCACGCCUACGUUUGACUUCAGCCCCACCUAGACCAGGGCCUCAUUCCCACAGGUUGGAGAGCCAUUGGCUAUGGCAGCCCCACCACUUCUUUUAUCCUUCCGAGGAGACAAGCAGCUUCCUGUCCUUGCAAACUUCUGAGCUGAUCUUUUCUCUGUUCUGCUAUUCCCCAUGGAGAUUAAAUUCCUUAUAUCUUUAAACAUGGUUUUGUGCUACAUGUUUAUUAUCUGACGUAGAAAUCAUGAACAUGCAAUGAGGGAUGGUAUUGUUAAGAUUGUAGGGGCCUUAGGUGGUUCAGCGGGGAGAGGCACUUGCCACCAAGUCUGACAACCUGAGUUCAAUCCCUGGGACCUACAAGGAGUAAGGAGAGAAGCAACUCCUACAAGUUUUCCUCUGACCUCCAUCCACAUGCAUGGCCAGUGGGCAUAGGUACACAUGUGCACACGCAACAUAAAUGAACUAAACAAAGUUUAAAGGAAACUGUAGUUGAGAGCUGAAGCUUGCCAUUGAAGUUGGCAAGGUGGCAGUGAUGGCGGGAAAGGAUAGGUGGGCACCGGAACCAGGUGACCGUGGAUCGCAGUAAACACACAUUCUAGGCUCUUAUUUUUGUUCUCCCAAAGUGUGGUGGUUGAAGGAAGGAACGAAGCAGCAGGACAAAGAUAGAGUUUCGAAGAAGGGGAAAC
rnacentral:sRNA from 1 species